GACGAACGCUGGCGGCGUGCUUAACACAUGCAAGUCGAACGGUGAAGCGCCUUCCUUUAUGGUGGGUGUGGAUGAGUGGCGAACGGGUGAGUAACACGUGAGUAACUUGCCCCCUUCUUCUGGAUAACCGCAUGAAAGUGUGGCUAAUACGGGAUAUUCUGGGUCUGUCGCAUGAUGGGUCUGGGAAAGAUAUUGUUUCGGUGGGGGAUGGGCUCGCGGCCUAUCAGCUUGUUGGUGGGGUGAUGGCCUACCAAGGCGGUGACGGGUAGCCGGCCUGGGAGGGUGGACGGUCACACUGGGACUGAGACACGGCCCAGACUCCUACGGGAGGCAGCAGUGGGGAGUAUUGCACAGUGGGCACAAGCCUGAUGCAGCGACGCCGCGUGAGGGAUGGAGGCCUUCGGGUUGUGAACCUCUUUCGCCAGUGAAGCAGGCCUGCCUCGUUUGUGGGUGGGUUGACGGUAGCUGGAUAAGAAGCGCCGGCUAACUACGUG
rnacentral:rRNA from 1 species